rnacentral:rRNA from 1 species
GACGAACGCUGGCGGCGUGCUUAACACAUGCAAGUCGAACGGAAAGGCCUGCUUUCCCUUGUGGAUUGCGGGUACUCGAGUGGCGAACGGGUGAGUAACACGUGAGUGAUCUGCCCCCAACUUGGGUAUAAGCCUGGGAAACUGGGUCUAAUUCCCGAUAGGACUGCAGGGUGGUGCCUGUGGUGGAAAACGAUUUUCUAGUGGUUGGGGAUGAGCUCGCGGCCUAUCAGCUUGUUGGUGGGGUAAUGGCCUACCAAGGCGGCGACGGGUAGCCGGCCUGAGAGGGUGGACGGCCACAUUGGGACUGAGAUACGGCCCAGACUCCUACGGGAGGCAGCAGUGGGGAAUAUUGCACACUGGGCGGAAGCCUGAUGCAGCGACGCAGCGUGGGGGAUGACGGCCUUCGGGUUGUAAACUCCUUUCGACCGCGAGGAAGCCACCUGGUUGGAAGGGUGGUGACGGUAGUGGUAGAAGAAGCACCGGCUAACUACGUG